CCUACGGGUGGCUGCAGUGAGGAAUAUUGGUCAAUGGGCGCGAGCCUGAACCAGCCAAGUCGCGUGAGGGAAGACGGUCCUAUGGAUUGUAAACCUCUUUUGUCGGGGAGCAAAAGACGCCACGCGUGGCGUUCCGAGAGUACCCGAUGAAAAAGCAUCGGCUAACUCCGUGCCAGCAGCCGCGGUAAAACGGAGGAUGCGAUGGUUAUCCGGAUUUAUUGGGUUUAAAGGGAGGGCAGGGGGAAGUUCAAGUAAGCGGUAAAAUUUAGGGGCUAAACCGCUUAGAGCCGUUGAAACUGGUUUUCUUGAGUGCGCGAGAAGUAGGCGGAAUGCGUGGUGUAGCGGUGAAAUGCAGAGAUAUCACGAAGAACUCCGAUUGCGAAGGCAGCAUACCGGCGCUCAACUGACGCUGAUGCACGAAAGUGUGGGUAUCGAACAGGAUUAGAUACCCUAGUAGUC
rnacentral:rRNA from 1 species